rnacentral:misc_RNA from 1 species
CCUUUCCCUCCUCUUUCUUUCUUUUCAGGAUUCUUAAGUGUUGAGGGCCGACGUGCCAGCGAAGGACAGUAGUGAAACCCAUUGCAUCAGCAUGGUGCGCGUUGGCGCGAAGCGCGAGCGUCCUUGUAUUCUCGUGCUCCAUGUCGCCUUGCGGGCCGCGCAGCAGCCCGCAAGGGAAGGGCCGCAGCGCGGGCGUGAGGGGGGGACUAGCCUCUCGACCUCUCCGCGAGAGCGGUUCAUCUGGAAGACUUCGGCCACCGCGGAGGUAUACGCGAAGGCGGUGUUGCGCAGCAUACGUGCGUACUGGCAACUGCUUGGUGGGGUGCGCUACGCCGGCUCCGAUGCCUUGACUCUGAUCAGUGCCGUGUGGCAGGACAUCGACGAUGCCGCGCUUGGGGCAACGGCGGCAGCCCAAGCGGGAGGGAUCGUUGAGGGUGAUUCACCGUCGGCCUCCCCUCUGGCAAGUACCAUUACAACCGGGGUCAAGCGAUCAAAACAGCAGCAGCAGCGGCGACGGCAGCGCAUGAGGGCGACCCGGCGGCGCAGCGGCGUGCUGAGGUGCGCCGUGCAUCUCUCUCGCUCCGUCUACGGGGACGCUGGCGCGGCACACGUGCUGCGAGCCUCGUGUGCGUGUGUUACAGAGGCUACGGUGGAGGUGCCGGUGUCGCAACUGGUCGCUGAUGACGGUUCCGCGACGGUGGCAGCCGACGCUUCCAAUGACGACAGGCGAAAGAGGCGUCGCAGACGCACAGAGGAGGAUGUUGAGGAUGUGAUGCCGCAGACUUGCCACGCCGCCGUGCAUGUCACGCGUGUGGAGAACGUGUUGCCGUCGCGCCAGCGACGCUGAGAAGGGGGUACGACCGCUAGUGCAGCCGCUACUCCAAAUCCAGGCAAGCGCGGCGUGCCUUUGUUAGCAUUAUAAG